rfam:Ananas comosus cultivar MD2 ACMD2_Scaffold_5465, whole genome shotgun sequence.
GAAAUAAGAACCACUGAGACUAGCCAAGAAGACUGCCUAUGAACCAAAAAUGGGGCUUGUUUAAUCUGUCCAAAACCUCCAAAAAAAAGGUUACAGGCAAGUCAUCCUUGGCUAUCAAAGAUAGAUGCUUAUCA